ACCAGCUGGGUGACCUUGAGUGUAUCAUGUAGCCUCUCUGUGCCUGCUCCAUUAUCUGUAAAAAAAAAAAAAAAAAAUUGGAUAAUAAUGCCAACACCUGCCUUAUAGGCAAAUGCGUGUUACGUACUUAGCAAAGUGCAAACUCAUAUUCAAAAGAUACAUUUGUUGUUAUUUUGUUAUCGCUGUGUUGCUGUGUUCUUAUGGGGCGAGGUGGCAAGGGUAACCCAGAGUCACCACCAGACUCUUUUCCUCAGAGAAAUACAACAAACAAGGAAGCAACUAAGCAGAAGACAUAGAGGUUUCCAGGGAUGUCUCUUCCGAGUGGAGGCCAGCCCCGGCCGCUGACCCCACCAUCAGGAGGAGAGCCCCGCUAGCAGAAUGGGCCAUAGAGAGCAGGUCAAGACAGGGGUUUAAGAGAUGGGGUCAUAGCCAGGAGGUUACUCAUUUCCUGUUUACAAAGCAAUGAAGCACUAAUUGAGGAGCCUGAGGGCCACACCCUACAGUAGGUACGGAAUAGGAUCUGGUCUUUGGAAGACUCCCUGAACCAGUGGGAGAGAUAAACGGGUCAACAAACCAUCUCAGUGCCCUACAAGGACUGAAGAGAAGCAUCAUAGGAGCCUGGAGUUGCCAGGGAGAGGAGGGGAAGUAGCCAAGGCCAAGCUAUAGAAGAGGCGCCAUCCAAGAGCGUGAGAACCUGGUGAAUCAGAGGUUCAGGGCCAUCGUAGGCAAACCCAUGGCCUGCUUGCCACAUAGGUCUCCCGGCUUCUCCAAGAGACCCACCGUGUAAAUGAGGGGUAAAAAGUGAGAAAGUUACCUCUCAACGUGAUGAGAAUAGAUCAUUUUCCCCCUGUGAGAUACAAAUAAUACAACAAGGAAGCUAAAUGUAUUUUGAAUUGAUUCCUUUUUAAACAAUUAUAUCUUGUUGUUUUUUUUUUUUUUUUUUUUUUGGUCAUUUUUUUAGGGCUGCUCCCAGGGCACAUGGAAGUCCCCAGGCUAGGGGUCCAAUCGGAGUUACACCGGCUGGCCUACACCACAGCCACAGCAACAUAGGAUCUAAGCCAUGUCUGCGACCUACACCACAGCUCAUGGCCAUGCUGGAUCCUUAACCCACUGAGCGAGGCCAGGGGUCGAACCUGUGUCCUCAUGGAUACUAGCGCGGUUCGUUACCCCUGAGCUGCAACAACGGGAACUUUGCAAAUGUAUCUGGUUUUAUUGUGCUUUUGCCUUCUUGCACUUAGCAGAUAUCAUAUCUUUUUACAGAUUGAAAGUUUGUGGCAACCCUGUGUUGUCAGGUGAUGGUUAGCAUAUUUUAGAAGCAAAGUAAUUUUUAAUUAGGGUACAUACAUUGGCUUUUUUAGACAUAAUGCUACUGCACACUUAAUAGACUAUAGUAUAAACAUAACUUUUGUGUGUAGUGGGAAACCAAAAAAAUUGUGUGACUCAUGUUACUUUAUUGCAGUGGUCUGGAACCAAAGUAUGCCUGUAUAUUAUAUAAACUCUGAAUAGCUGCUGUUCACCGCGCCUCUGUUUUAGGGGCCCAGCCAGGAAUGAGGGUCAGUACCUUGGAGAGCUCCGAGGGGUUUCCAGAUAGCCGAGGCAGGCAGCGGGUUCAGCACGAGGCAGAAGACCGCUGCUGGACGUGCUAGGCGCCAGCCCCUGUCUGCUGUGGGUACCAAUUGUAAAGUCUGCUGCCUCCUUUUAAGGUGGAGACCCCAGAGCCAAGGUGGUGGCCGGUGGGGGGCAAGGGCUCAGGAUGGAGAUUGGGCAUCUGCCCUCUCCCUGGAUGCAGUCUUCCAGGAGACACCAUUGCCCUGAGGAGUCAGUAUUGGUCCUGUCACUAGGAUGUUUGUGGUGUUUUCUGUCUUAAAGGCAGCUGGUAGCAUUUCGCCCCUAGCAGAGGUGGCUUAGUUAUUUGAGAUAAGAAGUUGAAAGGGUUGAUGCUGCCUGGAGGCGGAACCGAAGAACUGGGACAAACUCAGCGGCAGGUCUGCUAUUUUAGCCUCAUGGAUGUGCAGGUUUCUGCAGUUACUCUCUCCAUCCAGGUCUGUGGGUGGCAGGGACUGUCUGUGAGAUGCAGGGUGAAGCCAGGCUCUCCCAUGGCUGCGAUGGCCUUUUGGCUCUGCACAGUGGAGCCUGGCUAAGUUUGCUAUAAAACCAGACGGACUGCAGUUUGGGGAGAGGUGCCCACAUGCGUCUGGUGUGUGCAUGUACGGAUGGGCGAGGGGUUUGGAUCUUCCUCUUCUGGAACCAGGGGUUAAAAAAAUCAUGUGUCAGUUCAGUCCCCAGCCAGGCGUGGACCCUAGUGAGGUGGUGAUGUCAACCGGUUCUUACCCUCACGACUCCCCCACUUCUGCUUCCUCUCCCGUCUCGGUUUGCCUCCCAUUCACGGUUCCCUGGAUGUUGAUGGUCUGUCCCGUGUGAGCCGGAGGCAGGCAGGGCCCCGUGGUUACCCUAUGCCCGAGAGCCUCAGGGACAGCUCUGACCAUGGGUACUCUCGUUCUCUUCACUGAGAGUGAUUCGUUAGGUAUGUGACCGAGUGUGUUUAUUGGAUGCGUUUCUGAAGCACGUGCGUACAUCGGGAGGAUAAUCUUCAGCCAAACCACGUCUGAACUUUGCAUGUAGGAAGUAUGGUCGCUGUGGGUCCAGGACAGAGACAGAAACUCUUUUUCAUCCUCUGGGCCGGUUCAGUCCAGGGGACGAAGUGUCGAGGAGGAGCCUGAGACUGUCCGGGCCAGGGGGUCGUGGCUGAUGAGUGAGUCACGUCUGCCACAGGCACCACGUGUCCAUAGGUGUUGUCUGUGGCACCCGCCAUUUCUGUUCCAAGUUUCUGUUGUGCUUGAGUUGUGCUAUGACAGGUCUCUCCUGUCCAGAGAAAAAGCUGCCUCCGUUGUCACUGGUGAGAGAUCAUUCCAGAGGCUGGAAGAGACCCAUGUCUCAACUGCGCCUUCAGAGAUGUCCAGAGAUAGGCCAGGAGAAGGGGAUAUUUAGGGGCGUCUCAGGACUCCCUGUAAAGCACAGAACCAGCCUUGUCCUGAAUCCCAAACUAAGUUUGUUACCUUGAGACCACCUUGUUUAAUGGAAAGAACCUGCUAUUCGGAGGCACACAGACUUGGCUGUAAAUCCUGAAUGUUCCACGUGCACUGUGUCAUGCUAAGAAGAUGACUGAACGUCCCUGGAGCUCAGUUUAUUCUUCUAUAAAAGGGGUAAAAGCAUCGUGUCAUUGUCAUCUCAUCGGUAUACGUGUUAACUCGUGAACGCAGUUUAAGAGCCUGGGUCGGUGCCUGGCCCGGAGCAGGUGCUCCACACACAGCAGAGUCCCUGUGACAACAGCUCACAAGCCUGGAGGACCACGCCAUUUGCUGGGGACUGGCUGUUUGGAUGCACCUGUUUUAAAUGAGGGUGUCACUUGUACUUUGGGCACUAAUUUCAUCCCACCCUCCUCCCGCCCGAAAAAGAAGGAAGAAGGUGACCUUUACUGAGUGAUUUCGGGAUUUCAGCCGAAGGGUCUGUCAUCGCUACUUAUCAGGCCCGGGAAACCAGCUCUCGUGCAGUCAUUGGAGGUGUGCAGGUUGGGACAUUUAAUUGCGGCCUGGCCUCCUGGAAUAGAAACCUUGCCACCAGGACAACCCUGUUCUGCAUCUGCCUGAUUAAGUCAACAGACUCUUGGUUCCCAGCCGGAAGUGGACAGCGACCAGGGCUUUCUCCUGCUGGAAUCUUCUGGUCUUGACGCGCCGCUCAAGCUCCUUUACAAAGGCCCCGAGUGGCGGGAGCCGGUAGCGGGGGCGGGUGGAGGGACCCCCCAGGAGGAGAAUGAGACGCGGCACCUGCUCCAGAGGUGCCUGCGCUCUGGCGGGUGAAAGCAGCAGAGACGGAGCCGUCAGGGGAGGGAAGGCGGCGUCCAGCCUGGAGAGGCAGUGCGGCUCAGUGGUCGGCCCGCAGAGCUGCCUGCUGGGGCUUGGCAGCUGAUUCGGAUCCAGACCCACCACGCACAGAGGUGUGUGCCCUGGCCGUGUUACGUAGCCUCUUUGGGCCCAGUUUCUGUCUUUGGAGAAGGGAUGAGCCGCAUACUCAUCUCCAGGUUGCCCCGCAGAUUAAGCUGGAUGGUGUUAGAAGGUGCUGCGGCGGAAGUCUAGCAUGUGCUGCAAGCGCUCGAUGUUCUUACCGGGGUUAUGACUCUGGUUAUCUGGAAACGGCUUCGCUUCUGGGGUCCGUGGUCAGGGAAGACGGCAGGGAGCGCCGAGGGUCUCCUCCACAGUCGUGCCCUCGGCUGCAGCCCCCACUCCCGGAUGCCUCCGGGCCUUUGCCUCUGCUCUCGGCCCCCUUGACCUCCGGACCCAUUCCCACGCAUGCACCAUUCAAGACCCCGGCUGAGCACCGGGACCAUGGUGAAAUCCUUUUGGUCCCCGGGCUCCCCUCACAGGACCGGUCCGCCGGCUCUCGAGCCCCCCAAGCACCGUUCACCUGCGGCCUGAGCCCUUUCCACCCCCCACACCCCCGAGAUUCGGCCUCUCCAGUGUCUCCAUCCUCCGCCAGUGUCAGAGGCAGCGGGCCUGGACGUGCGUUAGGGCUCCCAACUUGUUGGACGUGAGACCUUGAGACCCUGGAGACCCCCCCCACACACACCUGCCGCUCCAUCUUUGCAAAGGGACACGGCCACCCAGUUGGGUGGAGAGAGACUGCACGUCUGGCCCAUCACCGAGUGCCUUCCCCCAACCCCACCCUGCCUCGGUCUCCCUGCCCCGGCGGGAAGUCUGGCGCCCAGAGAGACCAAACCUGCCGUUUCUGAGCGCCCUUCCCCUCCCCCUGGGCUCAGUGACCAGGCGACCUGGGGACGAUUCAUCCUGUCUUCCUUGGGGGUGGGGGAGGGGGCCGGGGGUGGUGAGCACGUCACCGUCUUGCAGGUCCUGUCGGGUCGACUCUUCUUGGGAAAGCGGGGAAAGCGUUGAGCUGGGAACCCCCUCCCCCACCGAAAUGCCCUGGAGCCCCUUCCCCGGAGACCGAGUCGGGCCUGAGAGGCCCUGCUGGCUCCGCCUCUGUGCCUUCCCCGGGCCUGUCCCUGCCCACUCUGUGUUUCCUCAUCACGACACUGUGACAGAAGCCACCUCUCACUGGCCCCUGGCAUUUCACAUUCUUGCCCCAACCGUCCGCAUCUGACAUGUGAGGAAACAGAGGCUCCCGGAGCUGACGGUCUCUGCCCAAGGCCCGAAAGGGUCUUGGCGUCGCGGGGACUCACGCCUGGGCCUGUGGGCCCCCAACGUGGUCAGUCACCAGGACGCCCCCAGGGAGUGACGGGGGUGAGGGGAGCAGAGCAAAGGACACUCCAAGGAGAGCUUUGGGUCAUCGGUCAGAUGACCCAAACCUGGCUGGGUUUCCCGUGGUGACAGCUCCCAAGGCUGUCCACAAGAACGGGGGACAUCUAUUGACAGAACAUCGUAAAUCAGCUAUAAUAAAAAAAUUUUAAAAAAUAACUGGGGAGACCCGAGGGGGCGCUCUGGGGAAGGGUCGGUGGUGCAGGGGUAGAGUUGGCCCAGGGAACAGCAGUCUGAGGCCCGGAAACCUUCAGGAAUGGAAGCAGAGGGUAGGCCCCAGGGCCUUACCUGGCAGGGAGGACAGAGAGCUGCUGUGUGCCAGGCUCUGGGCCAGGAGCUGGGGACCCGGAUCACAGGAGGGCUGGGUUUCCGCCCGAGGGAGCUCGGUGGAGGGGGAGGCAGGUGCGUGGGUCUGUAUCAGCGGCGUAAUGAGAGAUGUGCUACUGAGACAAACGCGUGUAAGAUGCUCUGGGGGAGCAGAGGAGGGAGUGGGCGCGGGCUCCAGAGGAUGUGGGGUGGCUAGAGGAGGAUGCCCAUCGGAGCUGAAUCUUGGACGGCGGGCAGUUGUUCACCAGGCAGCCCGAGGGAAGCAGCGUGGAGCAGCCUCUAGGAGCAGGGUCAGCACUAUGGCAAAGGCAGGGAGGUGGGAAACAGAUGGGCUGGGCCCGUGGAAGGAGCCGAGUCCAGGGGGAAGUGCCAGGGUCUCCAUCCCGUGGCUCCUGGACCCCUGGAGGGUGAAGCCAAGGAGUGACUUGGAGAAACACUUAGAAGGGCACCAGAGACAUGGGCGAUGGAAACGUUGGCGGGGGGGCGCCGGGGGGCUGGGAGGUCCUGUUAUGAGGAGGAGACACGGAGAAUCCUGCGAACAGUUAUUGCCUCCUUGAAUCUGGGCAUCCAGAAUGGGGCGGGUAGCCCCAGCCACCCCUGGCUCCCCGUCCUGGGUGCUGACCGAGGAAAAAGUGAGGCAGCGGGGUGUAGGAUCCUGCAGAGGGAGGCAGGAGGACGCAGACCCGACGGAACUUGUUGAGGGCCUGCUCUGUGACAGACACUAGGCUGGUGCUUUGCCUGCCAGGAAGAUGUCUUGUGCUUAAGAUGGAAAAAAAAAAAAAAAAGAGGGUCAGAAACAAUGAGUAAGCUACCCCAGGUCACAUGGCUGAUGCACUGGAAUUGUGCCCUGGGCCUCUCUGACCUCAAAGCCUUUGGACUUUGCUGGGCUUGUGGUUUUCACCGGCUCUGAGAUAGCCGCUGCUCUCACUUAUUCACUCAACAAAUGCUGGUCUCAGCGACACGCCAGAUGCUGAGAGAGCGCUGGGGUGACAUAAUCACAGCAACUGGUGGCACAGAGCUCACGGCUCUGCCCGGGAGAGAGGAGCACGCACAACAUGGGGUGGAAAGUGGCCCAAGGGGAAAACGAACCACAUCCUCCAAAGAGACGGUCUCCGAUAGGACCAGGGAUGCUCUCACAGAAGAGGUGGCUCAAAACCCUUUUCCUAUCCAUCUACUCGCGUCUCGUGCCCUCGUCCCUUUUCUCUCCAACGUUGCUUUCAUUUUUCAACUUUUCAAAUUUAUUUUUUAAAGGGUGCCCUGCCAAUUUCUGCCAUACAGCAAGUGACCCAGUCCUACAGAUAUAAUAUACAUCCAUCCUUUUUCUCAUACGAUCUUCAUCGUGUUCUGUCGCAAGGGAUUAGAGUAGUUCCCUGUGUUGUGCAGCAGGACCGCGCUGCUUGUCCUCCAUUGGAACUGGAGUGGUUUGCAUCUACUGGCCCCAGACAGGGUCCAGAAAGAGGGUCCCCGUUCUCGCUUACGUAUCCUUCUGCCUGGAGUGGAGGGACCCUGGACAUGCCCGCCUGUGCCAGCCCAUCCUCACCUGAGCCCCAGGAGGUGGUACUGUCCUCAUUCCUUACACCAGCGUAAGCUCAUGCUCAGAGGGGAGGCUCCUGGACUUGCCAAGGUCAUUUGGACCCAGAUCCAGAUGGCCCUCUGCCACCCUGCCUCCCACACUGGAUGGAACUGCGCUGGUCUCUACCCAGUGGGCAUUUUAAUUUAAAGGCGUCCGACCCAUUAGCUUCCCAGUGGGAACAUGAAGCAUUAAACAUCCUUUCAUAUAGUUUCGUUAUCGUCUGGACGCUACAGGGCUGGGGCGUGAAUAGCCUCGCAGUUCACAGGCGCUUGCUCAUCAAGUUGGCCUCACUUUCUUCUGGAGGCUUCUCGCGGUGUUAGCUCUGGCUUCUGGCUGCAUUUGAUUCUGUAACCACUUCCCAGAAUUUGGAAAUGUGUGUGUGUGUGUGUGUGUGUUUGAGGGGGAGAUGAGGAUGCGGCUGGGCUAAAACCGUCAGGCAUGUGAUGAAAUUCACUAACCUGUGUGUUCUCACCAGCCUUGGGAGGGUAAGCAGGCAGAAACCACAAUUAAAUGUGUGUAAAAUUUUCUGGGAAGUUCUAGAGAAUGGAUUUUUAUAAUCCAAGCCAUAUUUUAAAUGCUUCAAGUGGUGGGGAUGUGUUCGAUGUCCACAGUAAAUUAUUUAAUAACCUAAAAAGGAAAUCUAAUUUCCUGCCUUCCCUCUUUCUCCUUUUCUCUCUCUGUCUAGUUUGUUUGGUUUUCAUAGGGCAAAGCUAUUUACAUGCUUUGUAGAAUUAUUUC
rnacentral:lncRNA from 1 species